rnacentral:rRNA from 1 species
UACGGAGGGGGCUAGCGUUGUUCGGAAUUACUGGGCGUAAAGGGCGCGUAGGCGGACCUUCAAGUCAGGGGUGAAAGGCCUGGGCUCAACCCGGGAACUGCCUUUGAAACUGAGGGCCUAGAGUCCGUGAGAGGAUAGCGGAAUUCCCAGUGUAGAGGUGAAAUUCGUAGAUAUUGGGAAGAACACCGGUGGCGAAGGCUGCUAUCUGGCUCGGUACUGACGCUGCGGCGCGAAAGCUUGGGGAGCAAACAGG